rnacentral:lncRNA from 1 species
AUUUUGGCUCUGAAACUAAGGUUUUGAUCUUCACGGAAGAUGAGGGAAGCUUUCAUAGUAAUGUGAUGAAGUUUUUGGAAAAUUGGAAUUGAAAAUCAAACAAUUGAGAUGAAGAUUCGCACUGGUUUGAUUCAAAUGCACAACUCAGGUGAUUUAUAUCUCAGUUCCUCGACCUUCUAACAUCUUCAAUUCUUUCCCCUCUUUUGUACGCUAAGUCAUAUAUUUAUAUAUAUUUUGAAUUUAUUUUAUGAAAGGAUCCACACCAUGGAGCCCUAGUCCGAACGAAUGGAAGAUGUGAAUUGAAAUAAGGUUGUUGUUUUGUAACUCUUUUGGAUCUCUUAUGGGUAUCGGAUUUAGUAAAUUUUCUUUAGGCUACAUAGUUGAAAGGAGAAUGUAAUUCAUUGGAUUUAAGUUAUCCAUAUAAACACUCCAAUUAAUAGGUCAAAUUAUUAUGUUUACUCUGUGCUUGCAUUUUUUUUAUUUUUUACCGUCCAUUUAUAACUUUUCAAAAUAUA